UCAGACCCCGCGCUGUCCGCAGCGGCCGUGUGAGUAGUCGGGUUGGUACGUGGAGUGAAGCUGCUGGGCUGCUGCUCUUCUUGCCGCUGCCAGGCUCAGGGCCGCUGGUCGACCCCCACCCUCCGCGCUCCCCUUGGCCUCGAUGUUCUCACCUUACGGGCGGCUCUUUGCAGAAGCACGAGCUCCUCGCCCCGCUCCUCUUGGUUAUCCCGCGCCCCCCCUCGUCUCUCUUCCUCCCGGUCCGCAGUGGUCUCCAGGGUUCUUGGAUGGUCGGAGCUAUGGCGUCCCGACAUGCAGCGGGCCGCUGUUUGCCUACUCCUCAUCAGGACCCUGCCCUUGGAGGGCGACGACCCCCAUCCCAGCCGGAAAUUCCACUUUGGCUUCUAACCUCUCCUCGCCUGAUGUUCCUGACGUCGUUCUGGACUUCUUUGAUUGCAAAAACUAUGCAAAUGAAAGUGGUCCAGAAGGUUUUGGACAGGAUGCUGAUGGGAUAUGGUAUCCAUCUGACUCCACAUAUUGGAGGUAAAUUCAUGUGUAGACACCUGGGGUUUUUCUGUUGAGGAGAGCUGAAACACAGGAAGGCAGCCCACCACGUAAGCAUACCAGUGGCCCUCUCCCAGGCUCUACAGCUUUGCCUCUCGAGAUCCCACCUUCCUGACUUGCAGAGACCUGCAGUCGGGGUGCUCCUGGGCUCCCAACCUCCAGGCCUUUUGCUCUGACCCUGGAAUUUCUCCCACUUCUCUGGCUUCACAUGCACGAGGCCUUCUGCUCGCUCCACACUCCCUUGAGAAGGUCCCACACGUGAAGUACACUCCCUGGUGUGAGUGGAGGAGCACUACCCACAGAAUGGGCGUGCAGGCCAGAGGGCGCUAUGGUGCUCAAGGUAGAAUUUUCUGCUCCAUCUGUCAGGCUCUAUGGGGAGGGCAGUUGAGCACACCUUCUGUGCACCCUGGGUACUCACCAUAUAGAGUUUCUUCAAAACUGAGCAUGUGAUCUCUGUCUAGUCUACGUCACCCACCCGGGACCCAGGUGCUUGCCCCUCUGUCCCGCAAGCCUUCAACUCCCACCAGGUUGGUUGUAUUGGUUCUACCUCCGGAAAACAUCCCAAGUCUCUUCUUAUCUCUCUGUUGACAUGAGCCACCCCCAGAUCAGGCCUUGGGCAUCUUCCUACUGAAUUUCUGCAGCAACUUCCCAGCCUCUCGUCGCCCUAAUAUUAGUGUUGGUCCCUCUAAUCCAUUCAGCACACUGCAGUCAGCAUGGUCUUUAUAAAUCAAGCCUGAUUAUGUCAGGAACAUCUGAUGACUUCAGCUGUCCAAUAAAACCCAAACCCUUUAGCCUAGCAUUCAGAUUUCUAGAGCAGAGGUGAGAACUGGCAAAGAAAGAGAAAUAGAAACCACCACGAAGCCAAUGAGUCAGUUUCUUUCUGUAUUCCCUCCUAGCCUUCCCCUUAGAAAGGGCAGCUAGCCUGGGCCACACAGCUUGAAGUGACAGGAAACCUGCCCUAAGCCCACAGAACAGGAGUAGUAUUCUUUGGCCCAGGGAACACCCAGGAACCCUAAGCCAAUGACAGAGAAAAGGAAGGGUACAUUAAUUAGAGGUUCUAUGGGAGGUUGAACUAGAUACCAACUCUGAAGAGCUAAUGAACGCUCAUAGUUCAUAUUUGUGGAAAUGAAUACAAGCCUUCUGAAUAUGCGGUGCCUCCACCCUAGAAAGCACACGGCUGUGAGGAUUUGGCACUUGGGGGUAGACCAGUGAGGGCACCAUUUGCCCUGGGAGCUACCUGGAAAACCAAGGCCAUUGCCCUGGGCCCUGAGCUUUGGAGGUGGGUCCCCUGACUGUUGCUUUCCCUUUGCUGCAUUGUUCCCUCCAGCGUGUGAGGGGAUAAGGUGUAGCGCGCAUGUUCCAAGGUGAGUGUGUGUGUACCUAGGGGCUGGGAGGCUGGGGUGGAGAAGGCAGAAAGCAAGCUCCUUCAGUAGCCUUACGUUAGAAGGACAGCAGUGGCUCUAGGUGGGGACCUUAGGGAGGAGAGCGAGGGCUAGAGGGCUGGGUAUAGGGGAAUUCAGGUGUUAGAGCACAGCCCCUGCCCCUUGUAUGAUAUCGUUUGGGUCAGUGGGCUCAAACACUGGUCGGUGUCAGGGAGUAGCUGCCUCCUUUCCUCCUUUCCAUGUUCUCCUAUAUCUGAGCAGAGACUUAACAACCACAAUUUAAAAACACCAAGCACAUUCUCCCAUUGUUUUAAGCAAGAUAGCAUCUCAGCAGGCAUCCAGGGCCAGAAGGAGGGAACAGGGCCGAGGGCCAAGCUCUGGGGAUUGUCAGGUGUGGAUAAUCUUCAUUAUCUCUGAGGCACCUCAUCACCAUCUUUCGGACUCUGAUCUGUUUACACCUGCUGCCUAAGGUGGGAGGGGGUGGGUUACAUUACUUUUUUGGUAUGCAACCCUGGGACAUAUGAGACAAACGAGGUCCCUGGAUAGAUUUGGCCAAAUAUUCGAUGAAGAGGGGAGUGCAAGAACAACUUUAGUCUUUCUUUAUACAGAAGGGGGCACCGCAGGUGCUAAGUCUGGGGAUGUCGUGUGUGUGUGUGUGCACGUGUGUGCACGCACGUGUGUGCACGCACGCGUGUGAGUGUGUGUACUUGGGGAGCAGGGAGGACAGUAGGUGGGGUAGUUGCUCUCUGAAUGGAGUGCGUGGCAGGGCUGGGGGAAGAGGAGAACAAAGCCGAACACUUUGGGGCAAGGUGUGUGUCCUAGGAGGUAACUUCCCUGCCUGGCCUGCAACUGCAGCAUGCUCUGGAGAGGAAGGAAGCUCAGCCCAGGGGGGCAGGAGAAGAGGAAGGUGAGCAUCUGCCAGGGGCCCAUAGAUACCACGGGAGCAAGGUUAAAGUUGCUGGGGGUGUCUCGCUGGGAGAAAAGAGCACCUGGAUAGAGAUUUGCAACUUGAUUCUGGAAGAGAGUGAGACUCUAGCAAUCAAGGAGUGAACAUACCGGCUUACAUUUUGAAUUGCUUUAAUUGAAGGAAGAAAGAGGCAGCAGGAGAAUGAGAGCUGACACUGGACAGAGUUGAGUAGAGACGUCAGGACAGAGAGGAUGAGGGAUGAGGGUCAAGAACAGUGAGGACAGGAAGGAGAACACUGCCUAGAGAGAAGUGGUAGUCUCAAGAGCACUCAAAACCCAUUCGAACCAUUGCCUGCUCCACGGGCAAGUUGAGCCGAGCCCAUCCCCAGGUCUGUGAGGUUAUCAGCGGCAAGCAGGAUCCAGGCGGUGGCACCUACCCUGGGAGAGUCACCUGCCAUCACACCUGUUCCUCUUCUCAAGCAGGGCUUCGGGGAGAAUGGGCCAAGGGCUUCAGAGUUUAGGGACCCCUAGAUCUCCCUGUGAGGCCUCCCACUAGAUUGAGUCGAACCUCUCUUUGUGUGUGAGGUGGAGGAGAGCCUCAGGGUUUAACCCGUUCUUCCUCUUCCCCCACAAGUUCGCAAGCAGAAGCCUUGGGAACUUUGUCCUGUUCAGGUUCAAAGAGGAGCUUUAUUUUCCCUCGAGAAGGGGCAGUGAGAAGGGGAAGAGGAGGAGCCAGGGAGAGCUAGCAAAGCGGCUUCCCUCUGGGCAAGAGAACUGGAAGCCACAGUGUUGUGAAAAGCAGCUGCCUGAGGGCUUCGCCCAGCCCAGCACCUCCUAUGACACAGGCACUCCCAUAUCGUGGAGUGAAGGAAUAAAUGAGACAUUUUUUAUUCUUC